GAUGAACGCUGGCGGCAUGCCUAAUACAUGCAAGUCGAACGAGAGGAAGGAAAGCUUGCUUUCCUGAAUCUAGUGGCGAACGGGUGAGUAACACGUAGGUAACCUGCCCAUGUGCCCGGGAUAACUUCUGGAAACGGAUGCUAAAACCGGAUAGGUAGCAGACAAGCAUUUGACUGCUAUUAAAGUGGCCUUGGCCAUGAACAUGGAUGGACCUGCGGUGCAUUAGCUAGUUGGUGAGGUAACGGCCCACCAAGGCGACGAUGCAUAGCCGGCCUGAGAGGGCGGACGGCCACAUUGGGACUGAGACACGGCCCAAACUCCUACGGGAGGCAGCAGUAGGGGAUUUUCGUCAAUGGGGGGAACCCUGAACGAGCAAUGCCGCGUGAGUGAGGAAGGUCUUCGGAUCGUAAAGCUCUGUUGUAAGAGAAAAACGGCACUCAUAGGGAAUGAUGAGUGAGUGAUGGUAUCUUACCAGAAAGUCACGGCUAACUACGUGCCAGCAGCCGCAGUAACAC
rnacentral:rRNA from 1 species